UUAUGCACAUGCCAGCUCCUCCUCACUCCACCCCGGGCCAAGACCCUUUCAGCAGCGCGAGGCCUGCUUAACAUAUGACUCUGGCUGCAUUACUGCGUGGCAUCCCAGCACCCAUUCGAACAUUUCAGCAAUUUUAAACAAGCUCCACUGACAGGGACUAUUAAACGGAAGCCAAAGAAGCACGCCGGGAGAGCACAUUAAUUAUGAGAUUUGCGCUCCAAGCCCUGAAACAGUUAAUUCCCUGCUCUGCUCUGUGCCAACGGAAAUGGAUGUCGCUGCUUACCUUGUAGAGCUUCAGGGCCGCCUCGUGCCUGUGAUUGGUGCUUGAUGAGAUUUGGCUAAUACUGCCCCUGCGUGCCUGUAAUCUACUGCCAAAUACCUGGGAUAAGGUAACGGUAUUACGGUUGUCAUCUGUGGAGCUGUUUUCCCUGUCAGGCUCCAUCCCUGCAACUUUCUCUGGCACCUCAUUAUCAAGUUGUGUCGUUCCACAUAGCUUUGAUGUGCUCUGCCCAUUUUCCUGCCUGGAGAUAGGAGGGGAGUCACACGUUUCCAUGGCAAUUGCUACAUGGGGAUCUCAUUUCAUCCAGCCUGUCAGGGACCUGGAUAAAAAAUAAGGCAGCAUCUCAGACCAUAAAUUCCCUCUGUUGAGAACAGGAUGCUACUCUGUAAGGUCAUAUCAGUUUCUGGCAGCAGGUUACCAAGUGUGCACAAACAAUGUAUACAUACUGAAGGCAGCCAAAAUGCCUAAAAUAUAAUCCCCUGCUAGACUGAAGGAAAUGAGGAAGUCAAGAAGAGACUAGAGAGUUGGAGUGGAAGCAGAGUGCACGAGAGAAAAUGCUUCUGCAAGAAGGAAUUAAUGAAGAGAACUGCAAAAGAAUGUGUGACGACCUCUUCUGACACGGCAAAAACUUUCCACCCAUGUCACGACAAAGGGGAGAAGGUAGCAAAAUACCAGUGUGGAGCAACUAUAAGGCAUGAGGUUUGCAGGUUUAUUUACUGACUGGUGUAUCUAUUAGGACCAAGAACAAGUGGAGCUGUCAGGACAUAAUGAAGAAAAAGACCCAGAAAUGCAUUAAACGUCUAAAAGCCCUCCAAACCAAAACAACCCAUGAUGAUGGAGUGGUAGAGGUGUAGGACGGUCCUCCUAGAUGUCAUCUAGGACAAGCAAACAUGAAGAAUGAUCAGUCACCUAAAUACACGAUGCUGGUGUGUGAACUCCUGACCUGAAUGACUAAAACACCUACUCGGGACUUGUCUUGGACCAUCAGGGCAUUAUGACAUAUUAACCAAGUCAAGCUGCCCAAUUCUUAAAUGUUGUUUGUUUAUUUUUUCAAUCUCCAGAAUGCUAAAGUGGCUAAUUAUAUCAGAGAUAAGUUGCUUGCCAAAUAGGA